GUUGCCUGUCUGAGUCACUGACACAAAGCCAAGAGGAUGUGCUUGAGCAGAUGGAGCCAAAGGAAGUCGUUUCUGGAGUCCUUGUAAACCACUUCAGAGCCUUCGGCAUUUCCUGCUCCUCUGACAGGGCUGUCUGAAAAUCCUGGUCGCUGUGGAUGGUGAAAGUAAAACGACGCCAAGUGUUCUAUCAAACACCAGCCAGCUCCAGAGGAUCCCUGGAAAAGACAGGGAUCACCAGCGGCAUGAACUCUCUGCAGCAUCGGUGAAACUAUCACUGACGUGUCACGCCCCAGUUCUGCUGUCCACACUUCAUGAAGAACGAUCCUGGCUCACCUUGCAGAGCCGGUCAGCUAAAACUAGGAGCUGUGGCUGUUCCUGUGUGAGCAUCAUCAGCCGAACUACUUCCUGAAUUCCAUGCGGUGGUAUUGUAGCCAUGUCAGUCCCAGGAUAUUAGACAGACAAGG